GAUUCUGGCUCAGGACGAACGCUGGCAGCGUGCCUAACACAUGCAAGUCGAACGGAGAGCAUAUGAAGUAUUCGGUACGGAAUGCGUCUUAGUGGCGAACGGGUGAGUAACACGUGGGCAACCUGCCCCAGACUGGGGGAUAACAUUGUGAAAACAGUGCUAAUACCGCAUGACAGGGUUCCGGGCAUCCGGGACUCUUGAAAGGAGAAAUCCGGUCAGGGAUGGGCCCGCGUCCAAUUAGCUAGUUGGUGGGGUAACGGCCCACCAAGGCGACGAUUGGUAGCCGAACUGAGAGGUUGAUCGGCCACAUUGGGACUGAGACACGGCCCAGACUCCUACGGGAGGCAGCAGUGGGGAAUAUUGGGCAAUGGGCGAAAGCCUGAACCCCAGCGACGCCGCGUGAAGGAUGAAGGUCUUCGGAUUGUAAACUUCUUUGAUCAGGGAAGAAAGAAAUGACGGUACCUGAAAAACAAGCCACGGCUAACUACGUGCCAGCCGCAGC
rnacentral:rRNA from 1 species